UACAGAGGUCUCAAGCGUUGUUCGGAUUCAUUGGGCGUAAAGGGUGCGUAGGCGGCGCGGUAAGUCGGGCGUGAAAUCCCACGGCUCAACCGUGGAAGUGCACUCGAAACUGCAUAGCUAGAGUCCUGGAGAGGAAGGUGGAAUGCUUGGUGUAGAGGUGAAAUUCGUAGAUAUCAAGCGGAACACCGGUGGCGAAGGCGGCCUUCUGGACAGUGACUGACGCUGAGACGCGAAAGCGUGGGAGCAACAGG
rnacentral:rRNA from 1 species